rfam:Picea glauca, whole genome shotgun sequence.
CUUGGAAAAGAAGGAAAAUGAGAUGGCUUGAUGCCAUGUAAGCAUGUAUGGUGCAAUUUAGGGUUAUAACAUAAUGAGUGGUUGAAUUUGCUGGGAGGGAAGAGGAUGGAGGCCGACGAUGCAUCUCGGUCAGAUGUGGAACGACUCAAGAUGGUUCAUCGCUCAACUCGAGGUGUGAACCAACACAGGAUGUUGCAUCGACACAAGUACAAGUGGAGUAAUUCCUAUUGAUUUUCUGUUGUGGCAGUUGAGGAAUGAAGCGUGCGCCCCUUGGGGUGUGCCACUGUACACCUGCAAGCUCAUGGUGUUGGUUGGUAGGAUUUCCAUUCGAACCAUCUUGAAACACGGACCAAGGAGUCUAACAUGUGUGCGAGUUGGUGGGUUUGUAAACUCGCGAGGUGUAAGGAGGCUGACGGGUGAGAUCCCCUCUCCAUAGGGUGCAUUGGCGACCAAACUUGAGUUUGUGUGAAGGGUUCAAGUGUGAGCACACCUGUUGGGACACGAAAGAUGGUGAACUAUGCAUGAGUAGGGUGAAGCCAGAGGAAACUCUGGUGGAGGUCCAUAGCGAUACUGACGUGCAAAUCAUUCGUUUGACUUGGGUAUAGGGGUGAAAUACUAAUUGAACCAUCUAGUAGCUAGUUUCCUCUGAAGAAAAUGAUUAGAGGCAUUGGGGGAAUAACUCCCUCGACCUAUUCUCAAACUUUAAAUAGGCAAGAAGGUGUGGCUGCUCCACUGAGGCGUGCCAUAGAAUCAAGAGAUCCAAGUGGGCCAUUUUUGGUAAGCAGAACUGGAAAUGCAUGAUGAACCGAAAGUCGAGUUACGGCGCGAAACUACGCACUAACCCAGAUCCUACAAAGGGUGUUGGUUGAUUACGACAGUAGGAUGGUGGUCCUGGCAGUUGAAAUCCACUAAGGAGUGCGUAACAACUCACCUGUCAACUCAACUAGCCCCGAAAAUGGAUGGCGCUAAAGCGUGCGACCUAUACUUGAACGUUGGAGAAAUUAGAAGGAUGUGAUGAGUAGGAGGAUGUGGGGUCAUUGAGAAACCUUGGGCGUGAUCCUGGGUGGACUGGUCCCCAGUGCAAGUCUUGGUGGUAGUAGAAAAUAUUCAAAUUAGAACUUUGAAGAUUGAAGUGGGGAAAGGUUCCAUGUGAACAACACUUGGACAUGGGUUAGUCGAUCCUAAGAGAUGGGGAAGCCCUCUAUCAAGGGUGCACUCUGCACAAACAUAAAAAGGGAAUCAAGUUAAUAUUCCUGAACUGAGACAUGGUGGCAGAUGACAACGUUAGGAAAUUUGGAGACGUCGUCGGGGCCCCUGGGAAGAGUUAUCUUUUCUUUUUAACAGCUUUCCCACCCUGAAAUCGGCUCAACCAGAGAUAGGUUCUAGUAGCUGGAAGAGUAUCGCAUGUAUUGCGGUGUCUGUUGCACCCUCGACGGCCCUGAAAAAUCUGGAGGACCAAGUACCAUCCAUGUCUGGUCGUACUCAUAACCACAUCAGGUCUCCAAGGCGAACAACCUCUCGUC